CAGAACGAACGCUGGCGGCGUGCUUAACACAUGCAAGUCGAACGCGAAAGGGGCUUCGGUCCUGAGUAGAGUGGCGCACGGGUGAGUAACGCGUAGAUAAUCUGUCCUUGUGUCUGGAAUAAUACGUCGAAAGGUGUACUAAUACCGGAUAUUCUUGCUUUUCAUAAGUUAGGCAAGCAAAGGUGGCCUCUGAUUUAAGCUACUGCAUGAGGAGGAGUCUGCGUACCAUUAGCUAGUAGGUGGGGUAAUGGCCUACCUAGGCUACGAUGGUUAACGGGUCUGAGAGGAUGAUCCGUCACACUGGCACUGGAACACGGGCCAGACUCCUACGGGAGGCAGCAGUGAGGAAUAUUGCGCAAUGGGGGCAACCCUGACGCAGCGACGCCGCGUGAAGUGAGGAAGGCCUUCGGGUCGUAAAGCUCUGUCAAAGGGAAAGAAGUGCAUAGUGGUUAAUACCCAUUAUGUUUGACGGUACCCUUAAAGGAAGCACCGGCUAACUCCGUGCCAGCAGCGGC
rnacentral:rRNA from 1 species